rnacentral:ncRNA from 1 species
UAGACAACCGUUUUCCGAGUCCACUGUCCUGUGGCAAAUGCUAUGGCGGUCGGACCGACAGGGUAUACCUGGAAACAGGCAUGCCUCCCGGUGCGGAAAGGAAAUUACGGCAGAGAUUC